AGACAGCGCUAUCGCGCUUCCUCAGCCCGAACGGCAUCGAAGUAACGACUGGUUCAAACAACUUUCUUAUCCAUAACUCAUA
rfam:Legionella shakespearei DSM 23087 strain ATCC 49655 Lsha_ctg050, whole genome shotgun sequence.